UACAGAGGGUGCAAGCGUUAAUCGGAAUUACUGGGCGUAAAGCGCGCGUAGGCGGUUAUUUAAGUCGGGUGUGAAAUCCUCGGGCUCAACCUGGGAAUUGCAUUCGAUACUGGAUAGCUAGAGUUCGGCAGAGGGAAGCGGAAUUUCUGGUGUAGCGGUGAAGUGCGUAGAUAUCAGAAGGAACAUCAGUGGCGAAAGCGGCUUCCUGGACCAGAACUGACGAUCAGGCUCGAAAGCGUGGGGAGCAAACGGG
rnacentral:rRNA from 1 species